GCCUUCUUAGCUUAGGGGGCAGAGAAUUCGCUUAGUAAGCGAAAGGUCGCCGGUCCGAUUCCGGCAGAAGGCU